ensembl:lncRNA
GCAAAGAAGACUGGUUGGAUAUUAGGUGGAAAGGGGGAGUUAUGAGCCACCCAGUUCAACAGGAUGGAAGUAGCUGCGGUGUCAUUGUUGUCAAGGUAAGCUAAAGAGAUUUUGUGUUCAUUAUGUCAUGUACGAAAUGUGUGUGAAAGAUUAUUACAUUUCAUAACAUUAGGCAAACGUAAAAUGCAAUGUGUUGUGUGGCAACCCCGAUCGUCGGCGGCUGAGGUUUCCGAAGGAGACAGACCAAAUAGGGUGUGGGUCAAUGGUUUUUAUUGCGUAUAACCACUUAAAAAAAGUAAAACAAAAGACAACGAAAGUUCUUCCACUUAUGGGGUAAAAAGGGUGAGGGAUCUCCGGGUCCGGUCCGUCGGUGAGGUCAGCAUGGAUCCCGCUCCCGGCUUCUCCCGCGACCGUCGCUCCCUCUCAGCACGAGCCACAUGGCUGAGAGAGCCCCGAAUGAGUGGAGCAGCAGGCUAUUUAAGCUGCUUCUCCACCGGUUCCUCAGGUGCUCCUCAUCUUCUUAAUUGGCAACGGCCGGGUUGCCACAGUUGACAAGUUACAAAUCGGUUAAAUGUUUUGGGAGGCAUUCUAGUCACAUUCUAGUCAAAUUCUUCAGUAAAAUGUUUCCCAUGUUUGAUGUCAGUAUCUGUGUAUUUAAUAUCCAAUGGAGAAACACCCAAAGAAGUGUUUUUUGUUUAGAUGGCAAAAGCAGUGAUGGAGGCAUUUCCUCAGAUCCCAGAUGUUAAAUUUGAGACAUCCAAAAAGGCCAUGAAAAAGGAGAGGAGAGAUCUGGCUCUCGAAAUCCUAAAGGCAUCAGUCUUUGAUGAGCACACUUGUUGCGCAAUGUGUGCAGCCGUGAAGCCUCCGGGAUCUGGACCUCCCAUUACAGACUGGGUCCAGUGUGAUGACUGUGAACGAUGGUUUCAUGCCCUGUGUUUGGCAAUGGACAGCAACAGUUAUGAAAAGGCCAAGAAAGGAGACUGGGAAUGUAUCUUGUGCAAAUAGUGUUUCUUUGAAACUAAAAGUGAUGAACUUGCAAAGGCAUAUGUUAACUAAGCCUGCAGUUAAUAAAUAGAGGAAGCAGUAAAAUUCCAUAAAGAGGUGUGUUUUAUGUGUCCUGUUUAGUAAUACAAAUGGAUACUGGUUUGUGUUCGAUGUGUCCUGUUAAGUAAUACAAAUAGAUACCGGUUUGGAGUCACUGG